GACGAACGCUGGCGGCGUGCUUAACACAUGCAAGUCGAGCGGUAAGGCCCUUUCGGGGGGUACACGAGCGGCGAACGGGUGAGUAACACGUGGGUGACCUGCCCUCAGCUCUGGGAUAAGCCUGGGAAACCGGGUCUAAUACCGGAUAUGACUCCAUGACGCAUGUUGUGGGGGUGGAAAGCCUUGUGCGGCUGAGGAUGGGCCCGCGGCCUAUCAGCUUGUUGGUGGGGUGAUGGCCUACCAAGGCGACGACGGGUAGCCGGCCUGGGAGGGCGACCGGCCACACUGGGACUGAGACACGGCCCAGACUCCUACGGGAGGCAGCAGUGGGGAAUCUUGCGCAAUGGGCGAAAGCCUGACGCAGCGACGCCGCGUGAGGGAUGACGGCCU
rnacentral:rRNA from 1 species